UUUAACCAGGGGGCAUUUUUUGUUUUUCAUACAAGGGUCAGAGUUCACCAGGAGUGUAAACAAGAGGGUAGAUUUAGUAGUCCACGCUAUCGCCCAGGAUGGAAAUCGGAGCUCCUUCUCGGGCUCCUGGGGCUGACCUGGGAAGCACACCCCACUCCCGGAGAAGAACUCACUCUCCUCUCAGCCACGCCCCAUACCCUUCAGACGGGGAUGGGGAUGGGGGGCUCUGUUCUGUGCCCUAUCUGCUGCACAGCUGCCCCAGCUCAGAGAGCCUCCAGGGCGCUAAGUCAGAGGCUCAGCAGCAGUUCUGUUCUGCUCCAGCAGUAUCCCUGACCCUGAGAGUGGCCUUCAGAGGCUGAGAGUCACACAAAUAUCCAUCACUCGCCCAGCAAACCUUCACCCCAGGCCCCCAACUCCUCCUCUCCUACUUCCCCCAUCCCGUUGCUACACAGUUAGAGCCAGCAGGGCGCCCUCUUGUGGAACACAGCAAUUUCUGGCUGUUCUCUAGUGACCCUUCUCACUCGGAUGCUCUUCCUGGAAGCCACUGUUGGAGACAGCUCCUACCUGUGACAGAGCCACAAGGUGAGUAAGGUCCGCCUUACUGAGACUUGCCACUGGCCUGCUCUGCAGCCAUGCUCUCCAACAAAAACUGGUCCCGGGGGCUGGCGAGAUGGCUCAGCGGGUAAGAUGACUGCUCUUCCGAAGGUCCUGAGUUCAAAUCCCAGCAACCACGUGGUGGCUCACAACCACCCGUAAUGAGAUCUGACGCCCCCUUCUGGUGCGUCUGAAGACAGCUACAGUACUUAUGUAUAAUAAUAAAUAAAUCUUCAAAAAAAAAAAAACCA
rnacentral:lncRNA from 1 species